rnacentral:ncRNA from 1 species
AAAGCUGAUGCUUAUCGAAGAUAUGGCCUGAGGUAGAGCACUCAAUGGGCUAGGGUGGCCCAAAGCUUGACCAACCCCAAGGAAACUCCGAAUGCAGGCCAUUGAGUUUGUACAGACAGACUUUGGGCGCUAAGGUCCAAAGUCAAGAGGGAAACCGCCC